rnacentral:rRNA from 1 species
UACAGAGGUCUCAAGCGUUGUUCGGAUUCAUUGGGCGUAAAGGGCGCGUAGGUGGCGUGGUAAGUCAGGUGUGAAAUUUCGGAGCUUAACUCCGAAACUGCAUUUGAUACUGCCUUGCUUGAGGACUGGAGAGGAGACUGGAAUUCACGGUGUAGCAGUGAAAUGCGUAGAGAUCGUGAGGAAGACCAGUGGCGAAGGCGGGUCUCUGGGCAUUAACUGACGCUGAGGAGCGAAAGCAUGGGGAGCGAACAGG